UACGGGGGGGGGCAAGCGUUGUUCGGAUUUACUGGGCGUAAAGGGCGCGUAGGCGGCGUGACAAGUCACUUGUGAAAUCUCCGGGCUUAACUCGGAACGGCCAAGUGAUACUGUCGUGCUAGAGUGCAGAAGGGGCAAUCGGAAUUCUUUGGUGUAGCGGUGAAAUGCGUAGAUAUCAAGAGGAACACCUGAGGUGAAGACGGGUUGCUGGGCUGACACUGACGCUGAGGCGCGAAAGCUAGGGGGAGCAAACGGGG
rnacentral:rRNA from 1 species